CCUACGGGGGGCAGCAGUAGGGAAUAUUGCUCAAUGGGGGAAACCCUGAAGCAGCAACGCCGCGUGGAGGAUGAAGGUACUCGGAUUGUAAACCCCCUUUUUUAGAGAAGAUAAUGCCGGUAUCCAACGAAUAAGCACCGUCCAACACCGGGCCAGCAGCCGCGGUAAUACGGAGGGUGCAAGCGUUAUUCGGAAUCACUGGGCGUAAAGAGCGGGUAGGCGGGAUAGCAAGUCAGAUGUGAAAUCCUAGGGCUUAACCAUAGAACUGCAUUUGAAACUGUGAUUCUCGAGUAUGAGAGAGGUAGGUGGAAUUCGUGGUGUAGGGGUGAAAUGCGUAGAGAUCGAGAAGAAUACUGAUUGCGAAGGCAGCCUGCUAGAACAAAACUGACGCUGAUGCGCGAAAGCGUGGGGAGCAAACAGGAUUAGAUACCCUAGUAGUC
rnacentral:rRNA from 1 species